rnacentral:rRNA from 1 species
GACCUCUGACUAUUGGAGCGGCCGAUAUCGUUUGAGCUAGUUGUAACGGGUAAAGGCUCACCAAGGCCUUGAUCGGGAGUGAGAUGGAGAACCCCACCAGUCACACUGAGACUGAGACACGGUCUAGACUCCUACGGGAGGCAGCAGUGGGGAAUUUUGGACAAUGGGGGUAACCCUGAUCCAGCCAUCCCGCGUGUAUGACGAAGGCCUUCGGGUUGUAAAGUACUUUUGGCAGAGAACAACAGGUAUCCCCUAAUACGGGAUACUGCUGACGGUAUCUGCAGAAUAAGCACCGGCUAACUACGUGCCAGCAGCCGCGGUAAUACGUAGGGUGCAAGCGUUAAUCGGAAUUACUGGGCGUAAAGCGUGUGUAGGCGGUUCGGAAAGAAAGAUGUGAAAUCCCAGGGCUCAACCUAUGGAACUGCAUUUUUAACUGCCGAGCUAGAGUAUGUCAGAGGGGGGUAGAAAUUCCACGUGUAGCAGUGAAAUGCCUAGAUAUGUGGAGGAAUACCGAUGGGCGAAUGCAGCCCCCUGGGAUAAUAGUGACGCUCAGACACGAAAGCGUGGGGGAGCAAACAGGAUUAGAUACCCUGGUUAGUCCACGCCCUAAACGAUGUCAACUAGCUGCUGGGGCCGGUUAGGGCUUAAAAGCGCAGCUUACCCGUUCAAGUUGACCGCCUGGGGAGUACGGUCAGCAAGAUUAAAAACUUCAAGGGAAUCGGCCCGGGGACCCGGCACAAUCGGGUGGUAUUAUGUGGAUUAAUUUCGAUGCCACCUCCUAAAAACCUUUAACCUACUCUUGGACAUGUCUGGAAAGCCGCAGAGAUUUGGCCGUGCUCGCAAGAGUACAGGAAGCCAGGUGCUGCAUGGCAGUCGUCAGCUCGUGUCGUGAGAUGUUGGGUUAAGUCCCGCAACGAGCGCAACCCUUGUCAUUAGUUGCUAGCCUUGAGCACUCUAAUGAGACAUCCGGUUACAGACCGGAGGCAGGUGGGGAUGAGGUCAAGUCCUCAUAGCCCUUAUGGUUGGGGCUUCGCACGUCAUACAAUGGUCGGGAGCAAGGGUCGCCAACCCCCGAGGGGGAACCAAUCUCAGAAACCCAAUCGUAGUCCCAAUCGCAGUCGGCAACUC